UACGAAGGGGGCUAGCGUUGCUCGGAAUCACUGGGCGUAAAGCGCACGUAGGCGGCUUUCUAAGUCAGGGGUGAAAUCCUGGAGCUCAACUCCAGAACUGCCUUUGAUACUGGAGAGCUUGAGUCCGGAAGAGGUGAGUGGAACUCCGAGUGUAGAGGUGAAAUUCGUAGAUAUCAGGAGGAACACCGAUGGCGAAGGCAGCUCGCUGGGACGGUACUGACGCUGAGGCGCGAAAGCGUGGGGAGCGAACAGG
rnacentral:rRNA from 1 species